AUUGAACGCUGGCGGCAGGCCUACCACAUGCAAGUCGAACGAGUGGCGGACGGGUGAGUUAUGUCUGGGAAACUGCCUGAUGGAGGGGGAUAACUACUGGAAACGGUAGCUAAUACCGCAUACCAUCGGAUGUGCCCAGAGGGGAUUAGCUAGUAGGUGGGGUAAAGGGUCACCUAGGCGACGAGCCCUAGCUGGUCGGAGAGGAUGACCGGCCACACGGGAACUGUGACACGGUCCAGACUCCUACGGUAGGAAGCAGUGGAGAAGAUGGCACAAUGGGCGCAAGGCUGCUGCAGCCAUGCCGCGUGUAUGAAGAGGGCCUUCGGGUUGUAAAGUACUUUCAGCGUUGAGGCGUUACCCGCAGAAGAAGCGCCGGCUAACUCCGUGCCAGCAGCCGCGGUAAUUC
rnacentral:rRNA from 1 species